UUUAAACUCUGUUUGCCUCCUUCCCCCCCCCCACACGCAUCCAGAUUUUAAUCCACGGGAUCCUGCCUUAUAAGGCACGCACUUGUCCUUAGGAUCUUCAAGCGAGCCAUAGGAUCAGAAUGUAUCCUUUUCCAUGAGUGCAGUAAAGGAAGGGAUGAAAGAAGGCCGCUUCAGAAUCAAAGCUGUAUUUUCCCCUCUAUGUGUGGCUCCACUUGAUUGGCAGAAACACAGCAAAAUAAGGCUCAAGGAUUACAAAUUGUCGUCCUGCUCUUGACUAUGGCCUCGUAAAGUAGGAUAGGAAUCACGUACUGUAGAGAGAGUCCAGACUCAGAAGACAGAAACUUGCCGCGACCACUGACUAAAUCCAUCAUUUCUGAGACGUUUGAGGAGAGGACUGCCGAGGGUCACCCAUCUUCAGCCACUAGAGCAGGUUGGAAUAUCCACAAUUGGAUUUGCCCGUGAUGUAUAAUUUUCGAACAGAAGUCUUUUGCAAAUUUGUCUGAGGAGCUGGACUUGAGCCACAAAAGCUCAAAUUAACAUAUAGCAGUUAGUCUUUAAGGUGAAUUGGACCAUGAUGUAUAAUUUUGGAACAGAACUCUUUUGCAAAUUUGUCUGAGGAGUUGGACUUGAGCCACAAAAGCUCAAAUUAAAAGUAUAGCAGUUAGUCUUUAAGGUGCCACAAUGUUUUUGUCUUCUUUAUCUUUUUUUCCCCCCAAUCUUUUGCUUUUGCCUUUAAAAAGUGUUACCUUUCCCCUCCCCAUGGCUGCCCAGAUGAUGUAUAAUUUUGGAACAGAACUCUUUUGCAAAUUUGUCUGAGGAGUUGGACUUGAGCCACAAAAGCUCAAAUUAAAAGUAUAGCAGUUAGUCUUUAAGGUGCCACAAUGUUUUUGUCUUCUUUAUCUUUUUUUCCCCCCAAUCUUUUGCUUUUGCCUUUACAAAGUGUUACCUUUCUCCUCCCCAUGGCUGCGCAGAACCUUAAGAGCCGGUCCCCGGGGAAGGUAGAGGUCAGGUGACUUUUGAAAACAAACAUCACCCGUGCCACUCCCCUUGUUCAGUCAUGCUUCGCGUUCCUCUGUGUGAUCGACACUG
rnacentral:lncRNA from 1 species